rnacentral:rRNA from 1 species
CAAAAACAUAGCCAGUAGGAAGUAUUAUUGGUCCGUUCUGCUCCAUGUAUAAUAAAUAGCCGCAGUACCCUGACUGUGCAAAGGUAGCAUAAUCAUUUGGCUUAUAAUUGAAGUCUGGCAUGAAAGAAUCCAUGGGGGGAAGCUCUAUUUGCGAUAUCUAUUGAAUUUACUUAUUGGGUGCAAAUUCCCAAAAUUAAACAAAAGACGAGAAGACCCUUGAAAUUUUGACUAACUGUUAUUUAAAGUUUUUGUUGGGGCAACAUAGCAGCAUUUAACCUGCAGUAAUGACACGUCACACUAGUAGCUAGAUUAAAUUACUCUAGGGAUAACAGCGUAAUUCUGAAGUGUUUGCGACCUCGAUGUUGGACUAGGAAGCUCCUGCUUAAAAGGCAAACCGCUAUGCUCUGUUCGAGCA